UACGGAGGGUGCAAACGUUGUUCGGAAUUACUGGGCGUAAAGCGCGUGUAGGCUGCUUCGCAAGUCGGAUGUGAAAGCCCUGGGCUCAACCCAGGAAGUGCAUUCGAAACUGCAGAGCUGGAGUCCUGGAGAGGAAGGCGGAAUUCUCGGUGUAGAGGUGAAAUUCGUAGAUAUCGAGAGGAACACCGGUGGCGAAGGCGGCCUUCUGGACAGUGACUGACGCUGAGACGCGAAAGCGUGGGGAGCGAACAGG
rnacentral:rRNA from 1 species